rnacentral:rRNA from 1 species
GUAGGGGGCAAGCGUUGUCCGGAUUUAUUGGGCGUAAAGCGCUCGCAGGUGGUCCGAUGCGUCGUGCGUGAAAGACCCCGGCUCAACUGGGGAGGGUCGUGCGAUACGGUCGGACUGGAGGCCAGUAGGGGGAUGCGGAAUUCCGGGUGUAGUGGUGGAAUGCGUAGAGAUCCGGAGGAACACCAGCGGCGAAGGCGGCAUCCUGGACUGGUCCUGACACUCAGGAGCGAAAGCGUGGGGAGCGAUCCGGAUUAKAUACCCGGGUAGUCCACGCUGUAAACGAUGAGUACUAGGUGUCGGGGGUAUCGACCCCCUCGGUGCCGCAGCUAACGCGAUAAGUACUCCGCCUGGGGACUACGGCCGCAAGGCUA